GGUUAAGCGACUAAGCGUACACGGUGGAUGCCCUGGCAGUCAGAGGCGAUGAAGGACGUGCUAAUCUGCGAAAAGCGACGGCGAGGUGAUAUGAACCUUUGACCCGUCGAUGUCCGAAUGGGGAAACCCAGUGUGUUCCGACACACUAUCGUUAACUGAAUACAUAGGUUAACGAGGCGAACCGGGGGAACUGAAACAUCUAAGUACCCCGAGGAAAAGAAAUCAACCGAGAUUCCCCCAGUAGCGGCGAGCGAACGGGGAGCAGCCCGGAGUCUGAAUCAGCUUGUGUGUUAGUGGAACGGUCUGGAAAGUCCGACGGUACAGGGUGAUAGUCCCGUACACGAAAAUGCACUUGCUGUGAACUCGAAGAGUAGGGCGGGACACGUGGUAUCCUGUCUGAAUAUGGGGGGACCAUCCUCCAAGGCUAAAUACUCCUGACUGACCGAUAGUGAACCAGUACCGUGAGGGAAAGGCGAAAAGAACCCCGGCGAGGGGAGUGAAAAAGAACCUGAAACCGUGUACGUACAAGCAGUGGGAGCCUCUUUAUGGGGUGACUGCGUACCUUUUGUAUAAUGGGUCAGCGACUUAUAUUCUGUAGCAAGGUUAACCGUAUAGGGGAGCCGAAGGGAAACCGAGUCUUAACUGGGCGUUAAGUUGCAGGGUAUAGACCCGAAACCCGGUGAUCUAGCCAUGGGCAGGUUGAAGGUUGGGUAACACUAACUGGAGGACCGAACCGACUAAUGUUGAAAAAUUAGCGGAUGACCUGUGGCUGGGGGUGAAAGGCCAAUCAAACCGGGAGAUAGCUGGUUCUCCCCGAAAGCUAUUUAGGUAGCGCCUCGUGAACUCAUCUUCGGGGGUAGAGCACUGUUUCGGCUAGGGGGCCAUCCCGGCUUACCAACCCGAUGCAAACUACGAAUACCGAAGAAUGUUAUCACGGGAGACACACGGCGGGUGCUAACGUCCGUCGUGAAGAGGGAAACAACCCAGACCGCCAGCUAAGGUCCCAAAGUCAUGGUUAAGUGGGAAACGAUGUGGGAAGGCACAGACAGCCAGGAUGUUGGCUUAGAAGCAGCCAUCAUUUAAAGAAAGCGUAAUAGCUCACUGGUCGAGUCGGCCUGCGCGGAAGAUGUAACGGGGCUAAACCAUGCACCGAAGCUGCGGCAGCGACACUAUGUGUUGUUGGGUAGGGGAGCGUUCUGUAAGCCGUUGAAGGUGUGCUGUGAGGCAUGCUGGAGGUAUCAGAAGUGCGAAUGCUGACAUAAGUAACGAUAAAGCGGGUGAAAAGCCCGCUCGCCGGAAGACCAAGGGUUCCUGUCCAACGUUAAUCGGGGCAGGGUGAGUCGACCCCUAAGGCGAGGCCGAAAGGCGUAGUCGAUGGGAAACAGGUUAAUAUUCCUGUACUUGGUGUUACUGCGAAGGGGGGACGGAGAAGGCUAUGUCAGCCGGGCGACGGUUGUCCCGGUUUAAGCAUGUAGGCGGAGGUUCCAGGUAAAUCCGGUACCUUAUUAACGCUGAGGUGUGAUGACGAGGCACUACGGUGCUGAAGUGAUAAAUGCCCUGCUUCCAGGAAAAGCCUCUAAGCAUCAGGUAACACGAAAUCGUACCCCAAACCGACACAGGUGGUCAGGUAGAGAAUACCAAGGCGCUUGAGAGAACUCGGGUGAAGGAACUAGGCAAAAUGGUGCCGUAACUUCGGGAGAAGGCACGCUGAUAUGUAGGUGAAGCCCCUGCGGGCGGAGCUGAAAUCAGUCGAAGAUACCAGCUGGCUGCAACUGUUUAUUAAAAACACAGCACUGUGCAAACACGAAAGUGGACGUAUACGGUGUGACGCCUGCCCGGUGCCGGAAGGUUAAUUGAUGGGGUUAGCGGCAACGCGAAGCUCUUGAUCGAAGCCCCGGUAAACGGCGGCCGUAACUAUAACGGUCCUAAGGUAGCGAAAUUCCUUGUCGGGUAAGUUCCGACCUGCACGAAUGGCGUAAUGAUGGCCAGGCUGUCUCCACCCGAGACUCAGUGAAAUUGAACUCGCUGUGAAGAUGCAGUGUACCCGCGGCAAGACGGAAAGACCCCGUGAACCUUUACUAUAGCUUGACACUGAACACUGGUCCUUGAUGUGUAGGAUAGGUGGGAGGCUUUGAAGCGUGGACGCCAGUCUGCGUGGAGCCAUCCUUGAAAUACCACCCUUUAAUGGCUGGUGUUCUAACGUAGACCCGUGAUCCGGGUUGCGGACAGUGUCUGGUGGGUAGUUUGACUGGGGCGGUCUCCUCCCAAAGAGUAACGGAGGAGCACGAAGGUUGGCUAAUCCUGGUCGGACAUCAGGAGGUUAGUGCAAUGGCAUAAGCCAGCUUGACUGCGAGCGUGACGGCGCGAGCAGGUGCGAAAGCAGGUCAUAGUGAUCCGGUGGUUCUGAAUGGAAGGGCCAUCGCUCAACGGAUAAAAGGUACUCCGGGGAUAACAGGCUGAUACCGCCCAAGAGUUCAUAUCGACGGCGGUGUUUGGCACCUCGAUGUCGGCUCAUCACAUCCUGGGGCUGAAGUAGGUCCCAAGGGUAUGGCUGUUCGCCAUUUAAAGUGGUACGCGAGCUGGGUUUAGAACGUCGUGAGACAGUUCGGUCCCUAUCUGCCGUGGGCGCUGGAGAAUUGAGGGGGGCUGCUCCUAGUACGAGAGGACCGGAGUGGACGCAUCACUGGUGUUCGGGUUGUCAUGCCAAUGGCACUGCCCGGUAGCUAAAUGCGGAAGAGAUAAGUGCUGAAAGCAUCUAAGCACGAAACUUGCCCCGAGAUGAGUUCUCCCUGAGACUUUAAGUCUCCUGAAGGAACGUUGAAGACGACGACGUUGAUAGGUCGGGUGUGUAAGCGCAGCGAUGCGUUGAGCUAACCGAUACUAAUGAACCGUGAGGCUUAACCUU
rnacentral:rRNA from 1 species